GACGAACGCUGGCGGCGUGCUUAACACAUGCAAGUCGAACGGAAGGGCCCUGCUUUUGUGGGGUGCUCGAGUGGCGAACGGGUGAGUAACACGUGAGUAACCUGCCCUUGACUUUGGGAUAACUUCAGGAAACUUGGGCUAAUACCGGAUAGGAGCUCCUGCUGCAUGGUGGGGGUUGGAAAGUUUCGGCGGUUGGGGAUGGACUCGCGGCUUAUCAGCUUGUUGGUGGGGUAGUGGCUUACCAAGGCUUUGACGGGUAGCCGGCCUGAGAGGGUGACCGGCCACAUUGGGCCUGAGAUACGACCGAGACUCCUACGGGCGGCAGCAGUGGGGAAUAUUGCACAAUGGGCGGAAGCCUGAUGCAGCAACGCCGCGUGCGGGAUAACGGCCUUCGGGUUGUAAACCGCUUUCGCCUGUGACGAAGCGUGAGUGACGGUAAUGGGUAAAGAAGCACCGGCUAACUACGUG
rnacentral:rRNA from 1 species